rnacentral:antisense_RNA from 1 species
UUGAUUCUAUAAACAGCAACUAUAAACACAUAAAUACAGAAGAAUGAACCUCAGAGUCCUGAAAACACUGCUACUAUGAAACUAUGAAAAAGGAGACAGCAAAAUAGACUUGUCAUCCUGUGCAGGUCUCUUACUAAAGCUUCCUGUUCAAAGUCUGGCUGAGAAUUUUUGCUGCUUCUUUCCCUACCUCCUCAUUUCCGAAGGAGGUACCUUUCUAGCUUCUCUGUUGAACAUUUCCUAAAUAAAGUGUGGAUGAAAAGCAAUAGAGGAGGGAAAUACAGAAAAUUAUAAGGCUGAAAUAGAAACUGGCCACAGCAGAGAUUAAAGGCCCUUCCUGGGUUAGCUGAUGCUCACCUACAUUGAUGAGGACAAUCUUUGUUUAGUUUGCUGAUUCAAUUGCUCAUCUCUUCUGGAAACACCUUCACAGACUCACCAGAAAUAAUGUUUUACCAGCCAUCUGGGCAUCUGUUAGCCCAGUCAAGUUGACACUUAAAAUUAACCACCAC